rnacentral:lncRNA from 1 species
UUGGAUAAUUCAUAAUCUGUUUGAAGGAGAAGGGUGUGAUAGAGUCCAGAGCUGGCUUGGAAGAAGAGUCCUUUCAUAUGAAAAGAACGUGAACGGUUCAUGGGUGUGAGGAGCCACAGAAGAAUGCAAGAACAGCCACACGAUCUUUCUGCCUUGCCUCCACUCUCCUGCAGCGUUGACUCCGAGGCUCUUUCAUCAGAGACUCCGAGAACAAGAAAUGCUUUAUAUUGUCCUCAGGAGAAACCAGUUACUACAAGGAUGCCCACCUCUGACGUAUAUGAACUUCCAUCUGUCAAUCAAACUCCAAGGAGAAGCUGAAGCUAGAUAAGCCAUGGGGUUGGAGAGGAGUGUGUAUGUGACUUGGAAUCUGAUGAGCUGCAAGUGAGAGGAAAGGCAGGGUCGAGGCUGCCUCCACAUAUCUGUUGUACAGCAGAGAAGAGGUUCCUGGAGGAAGAGGGAGUUUCCUCUUGUUAUGUUGACUUUGAGGUGCCUCUGUAGACAAG